rnacentral:piRNA from 8 species
UUGGUGGUUCAGUGGUAGAAUUCUCGCCUGC